rnacentral:rRNA from 1 species
UACGUAGGGACCGAGCGUUGUCCGGAUUCAUUGGGCGUAAAGAGCUCGUAGGCGGCCACUCAAGUCGAAUGUGAAACCUCGAGGCUUAACCUCGAGCCUGCAUUCGAUACUGGGCGGCUAGAGUCUGGUAGGGGGAUCUGGAAUUCCUGGUGUAGCGGUGGAAUGCGCAGAUAUCAGGAGGAACACCGGUGGCGAAGGCGGCGUUCUGGACUGCAACUGACACUGAGGAACGAAAGCCAGGGGAGCAAACGGG